AUGGUUCUGAUAAAAAAAAGAAAUUUUUAGAAUUACCAUUUUGAAAUAAAAGCCAACAUAGCAAAAUUGAUCUUUUUCUUCAAAUGGACCCAGUCCCAUUCGGCGCCCUCUUGGGCCUCUUUCGCACAAUCUCCUCUGCCUCUUCUUCCUCUUCUUCCUUCACUCUUUCAAUAUCGCAAGAUUCACAAGCGUGCGGACGCCAUAUCUUUGCUUGUUUCUUUCAUUAGCUCUGGCCGCCAACAUGUUCUCCAUGGCUACUUUGUUAAGCCCGGUAACUGGGACCCCAAGAAAUAUGGUAUUAAGACGUCGAAACUGCUUUUCGACUCCUGUAUCAGCGCCUAUGUUGAGUCCGGGAAGCCCCACUUGGCUGCUCAGAUUUUUAGUAAAAUGAAGAGGUUGAAGUACAGCCUAGAUGGUUGACUGCAAUGUGCUUGCAAAUGGAUUGGUAAGACACUCUUCUUCGCCUUCAAUUUUGCUUGCUUAUAAAGUUUUAAAGAUAUGACUAAUGUACUUUGAAGUUAAACCUGAUACUAGUACUAUAAAUGUUGUGAUAUAUGGAUGUUGCUUGGCGAAUAAGUUUGUGGAUGCGCUUGGGUGGCUGAAGAAAAUGGAGGGUUUUGGUCGUUUACCAGAUAAUAUAACUUACUAUAUCGGAUGCCUUGUGUAAGAAAGUUAGGUUGAGUCAGGCUAGGGAUUUGUUAUCAGAUAUAAAGAAUGAAGGGUUGUUACCCAAUUGGAGCACGUAUAAUAUUUUGGUAUGUGGGUAUUGUAAGUUGGGGUGGUUAAAGGAGGCAAUGAAGGUGGAGUUGAUGACAUUGGAUAAUUUGUUGCCGGAUUUUUGGACACAUAUUAUGUUGAUUAAUGGGAUGUGUAAUGACAAGACAUUUCAGUUGAGGAAUGAGAUGGAGAAUUUGAAGCUGUUGCCGGAUGUGGUUACAUAUAAUACUAUAAUUCAUGGAUGUUUUGAAUCGGGUAGUAGUUUAGAGCAUUUGAGUUGAUUAAUGAAAUGGGUGAGAAAGGAGGGAAACUGAAUGCAGUUGGCGAAACGAGUGAAACUGAAUGCAGUUGGCGAAAGGAGUGAAGCUGAAUGCAGUUACUCAUAAUAUUAUAAUUAAGCGGUAUUUAGAAGAAGGCAAAAUUGACUAAGCCAUUAAUACCAUGAGGAAAAUGGAAGAAACUACUAUUCCACUAGACACUGUUACUUACACUAUUUUGAUAAAUGGAUAUCGUAAAGCAGGGAAGAUGGUUGAAGCGUUCAGAACAAUGGAUGAGUUGAAGAUGAAUAAUUUUACACUUAAUACCAUUCUUCAUACACUGGGGGGAGAAGAAGCUUGAUGAGGCGUACAACUUGCUUGAUAGAGCCAUCAUGAGGGGAUUUUAUCUUGAUGAGGCGAGCUAUGGCACUCUUAUCACAGGAUAUUUUAAGGAUGAAAAGGUGGGCUGAGCUUUGAAAUGACAAACUUAGAAAUUGAUUGCUUAAUAGAAUCCUCGUAUUAUUACCUAUAACAUUAUAAUUGCAGGGCUAUGUCAUUCAGAAAUGACUGAGCAUGCCAUUUACAAGCUGAAUGAGCUUCUUGAGAGUGGUUUAAUCCCAGAUGAAACCACAUACAAUUCAAAUAUUCAUGGGUACUGCAAGGAGGGACAAGUUGAAAAAGCAUUUCAGUCUCAAACCUGACGUCGUUACAUUUAUUAUUCUUCUUGGAGGGCUUUGUAGGGAGGGUAUGCUAGAAAAGGCUCUUAAACUCUUCAACACAUGGAUUUCAAAAGGGAGGAAAUUUGAUGCAAUUACUUACAACAAGAUGAUAUCAAGUCUAUGCAGGGAAGGGAGAUUCAAGGAUGCAUUUGAUGAGAUAUAUGAAAUGAAAAAAAAAGAAACCAGUGCCCGAUCAUUAUACAUUUAAUAUCAUUCAGGGGGCACUAAUUAAUGCCUGUAAGCUUCAAGAAGCAGAGGAUUUCAAGUCUAAAAUGGUUGAAAAAGGAUCUGCCAAUUCAAUUGGGAGAGGGGCAGAGUGUAGUGACUACCUCUGAGGGAUUGGAUUCUAGUUCCUUUGCUUACUCAGGAGCAGAGAAAUGAGCUCUGUACUCUAUGGAAACACAAGGAUGCAAUGAGCAAAUUUUGAGAAAACAAUGCAAAAGAGCAUCAUUGUAAACAAAUCAACCUACAUGAAUUUAGUGGAUGGACUAAUCAAAAGGCAAAAAUGCAUUUCAAAAGCUGACCAAAGUAGCUAAGAUCUCUUGGGCACUUCAGAACAUCAUCAAACAGAGCAGUUUGGCAUAGAUUCAGCUGCAUUGAAGACAGAAGGAAAUCACACCAGUGAAGUUGGGUUGGUCAGGGUUUGUAGAGGGACGAUAAUCUGAAGAUAUUGAAUGAACUCUCAUCAUCCUUUUCCAGUCCCCUGUGAGGUAAAUUCAUCUGCAAAUGAGAUCUGAGUGUCAAUUCUGCUGAGUUGAUUUGUUUGUGCAUCUGCAUGCUAGAAGUUGCAUUAAUUUAAGAAGAAUCAGCAUGAAGGUAAUUCUGCUAAGUUGAUUAUUUGUGCAUUUGUAUAUUGUCUAAAUUUAGAAGUUGAAUUAAUUUAAGAAGAAUCAGCAUGUAGGUUUUUCUUUGUGAUCAGAAUCACCGUUCUUGUACUGAAGAAUCAUCCACGUAAAUUGUGCAAUAGUUUGGUAUGCCAUUUAUGUGCCCA